AACGAACGCUGGCGGCAGGCUUAACACAUGCAAGUCGAACGGUUGUAGCAAUACAGCAGUGGCGGACGGGUGAGUAACACGUGGGAACCUUCCUAGGGGUACGGAACAACUCAGGGAAACUUGAGCUAAUACCGUAUACGUCCGUGAGGAGAAAGAUUUAUCGCCCCUAGACGGGCCCGCGUAGGAUUAGGUAGUUGGUGAGGUAACGGCUCACCAAGCCUACGAUCCUUAGCUGAUCUGAGAGGAUGAUCAGCCACACUGGGACUGAGACACGGCCCAGACUCCUACGGGAGGCAGCAGUGGGGAAUCUUGGGCAAUGGGCGCAAGCCUGAUCCAGCCAUGCCGCGUGAGUGAAGAAGGCCUUCGGGUUGUAAAGCUCUUUUACCAGGGACGAUAAUGACGGUACCUGGAGAAUAAGCCCCGGCAAACUUCGUGCCAGCCGCCGCGGUAA
rnacentral:rRNA from 1 species